UCCCUCUCAGAAUCAUACCUGGAGAGUUUCUGGUACUCUACCAGUUUGGGCUACAGGAGGGAGAGUCAAGCAGAGGCCUGUCCAUUCCAUUCCUAGUUUGGACAGUGGCUAAUGAAUGGAAGGCAAUCUGCUACAAGG